GAUGAACGCUGGCGGCGUGCCUAAUACAUGCAAGUCGAGCGAACGGACGAGAAGCUUGCUUCUCUGAUGUUAGCGGCGGACGGGUGAGUAACACGUGGAUAACCUACCUAUAAGACUGGGAUAAUUUCGGGAAACCGGAGCUAAUACCGGAUAAUAUUUUGAACCGCAUGGUUCAAAAGUGAAAGACGGUCUUGCUGUCACUUAUAGAUGGAUCCGCGCUGCAUUAGCUAGUUGGUAAGGUAACGGCUUACCAAGGCAACGAUGCAUAGCCGACCUGAGAGGGUGAUCGGCCACACUGGAACUGAGACACGGUCCAGACUCCUACGGGAGGCAGCAGUAGGGAAUCUUCCGCAAUGGGCGAAAGCCUGACGGAGCAACGCCGCGUGAGUGAAGAAGGUCUUCGGAUCGUAAAACUCUUUUAUUAGGGAAGAACAUAUGUGUAAGUAACUGUGCACAUCUUGACGGUACCUAAUCAGAAAGCCACGGCUAACUACGUG
rnacentral:rRNA from 1 species